CUCUUGUGUGGGCUUCCAGGAAGCUGGACGGAUUGGGACUGGGGCUGCUGUACCCCAGCGGGGCCCCCACCCCCUUUCUGGCUGAGUCUGGAGUACUAGUGAGAGCACGACAGAGUCACCUGGGAGAAAGACAUCUGGAGCACAUCGAUUUGAGGUGGGAAGAUCAGCCCACUGUGGGUGGCACCAUCCUGUAGGCUGGGAAACUGCAUUGUGUUAAAUGAAGAAAGGAUCUGAGCAGCAAUGCGCUCAUCGUUGUUUCCUGAUUGUGGGCAACCAGCUGCUCCAAGCUCCUGCUACUCUGACGACUUCCCCACUGUGAUGGAUUCUAACCUUGAACCAUGAACCAGAAUAAACCCUUUCUCCCUUC